UUCCCUUCCUGUAGUUGUCUCUGUGCUAACAUUGUAUCUCAUCUGCGUUACCCUGGAUACUGUAUAUACUGGUAUUAGAACUAGGGAAGGGAAAGGGAAUAUCAAAACUGAGAGACAAAGGAUAAAAAGGCAAAUGACU